GAAUAAUUUCCUUGCUGUAUUCAAUUCUUUUAUCAUUUUGUCGGAGAUGAAGAUAAAGGCCACUUGUUCUUUCAUCUCUUUAUCAAUAAAUUUCACUUUCCCCCUGAAAUAGUCACGCAAAGGGUGUGUGGAAUCGUUUGUAAAUCCGUCCUCGAGAUCUUCCAAAUGAUCGGGAACAGCGCGUAGGGGUUUAGAUGCACGUCUGAUGAGACUAUCAGCGCGUGAUUUUGAAAACCGGGUUUGCACGUCUUUGAAUUGAGGCCUAAACAAGGAUGGAUGUUGAGGGAAUAAUACUUUAUAUAAAAUGUGAAAAGAUACGAACUUUGUGGCUGUGGUGUUCAAGAUUUUAUGGGGCUUCUUGUCUGUGUUGAUCGAUUCGUGUUGCAUUGUGUGAUACAUCAAUCGCUCUUCUAGAAAGAGCUCAUCUUUGUCACAAUAAUGUUUACCGGUCACUUUUAACUGUCCAUUAAUCAGAGUCUCCACUCUUGCUGUACAGCCCUCUCUGUUCUUUCGUCUAAAAAUACAUCGGAAAUUUUUCUCUUUCUCCUCCUCCGAUAAUUCUUUCGAGCGAAUUUCCGCGUGAUACCGAUAACCUCUGAGGUAAUAAAGCCAAGUGUUCUCGCGCUCCCCAGGAAUUUUUACCAUUUCCUUCGUUUCACAGAUAACCCCUUCGAAAGUAUCAUCCUCCCCCGACCACAUUAUUACGCUUCGCGUUACCGUAAAUGAUGAGAAAAAAAAUGAUCUACUAUUGUCAAUUAUCUUUCGACAGCCACGCGUCGGUCACGACUGGUUGAAGCUAUUGCGAUUUAGCAUUAUUCCAUGUCUUUCCCCCUCCUAAUAAUUUCAAUGAUACAUUGACAAGAUGUGAGACCAAAUUAUCAUCCCAAAAACAUCGAAAAAACAUUGAUGAAGCAUUUUUUAGAUUAACAAAGUGGAGGUUUGAAAGAAUCUGCGCUAAACGUAUCGUGGAAUCUCGCUGGCAAAGAGCUGGGGACGAAUCGUGAUCGAUGAAAAUCUGUCGACGAAACGUUGACAUACCAUCACUAUCGAUGCAUAACUGCCCGAGAAAUUUCAAAAAUUUUGGAAUAGUAUGAUGUAUUGGAAUAGUAUGAUACAUCGCUUAACUGGUCCGAUUAGCUGAAUAUCACAGAUUGAUAACGCACUGUUCACACAAAAAAACAACACUUAGAAAUAAUUUCAAUUUCUUUUUUUUUCGUGUAUAUUGCAUGUGUAUUUCAAUACAAAUUGAGAAUCAGUUUGUAUCAUUAGACUUACUUUGAAAAUCGUACAGGUUUUCUUUACUCUUUUUUUUUUUAUUUCAGAGGCGAUAAUUCAAUUUAAAAAAUAUGUAAAAUUAAUAUUUAGAUUCAGAUCGUUACCACAGAAAUCCUUCGCUUUGAAUGUUGGAAUUUUUUAUGAACUUUCAUUCUCCAAUGAUCAAGAAGUAAUAUUAAUUUCUCUCGACGAAUUAUUAAGGAAAAUAAUUACAUAGAAUGAGUCGUAUUAAUGUGUCAAUAUCUCUAUGAGAUAUCGGGCGAGUAACGAACAGUAUUUUUGGUCAUCGCAUCCGUAGGCAGGGGUUCACGGGCGGAAAAACUAGAAAUUUUAUCAAAGAACUCUGCGCAAAAACCAAGAAAAAUUGCAUGAGUGUACUUCCGGUAAAAUUGUAACAUCAUUCAUAUUAACUGUUGCUCCUUUUUCACAUAGUUUAUACGCCUGAACACUGAAGGAUUACGUGGGAAUAAUCAAUCUUUCAAGUGUGAGAUUUAUUCUAUUUGUGACUAAUUUUUUCCUGAAUUUACAAAAUAAUGCUCAACAUCAUGAAUUUCAUAAAUCACUCGUUGAAUUCUCAAAAGUCUAACGAUCGACAGUUGCGAACAGAAAUUCUCCGAAAAACCGCGGAGCGUCAGUGUUUACAUGCGCAGGGGAAUUGAAAGACGGAGCUUGUGCCCAAGUACAUCGAUCAUUUCGAUGUUUUUUACGUUUUAGUUCGAUGUUUUAGCGAUCUCUUUCGAUGCCAUUGUGCUCCACGGUACCCGUUACGAUCGGCGAGGGGGAUCGUGAGCGUGCGCACAGAGUCAACGUCACCCUCGGUUGUGAGGACUUUAGUGUUCAUAUUUGCGUAACGCUCGUAUUGAUCACCUCGUCGUGCAGUGACCGGUGUGGUUGAUUUCAGUGUUUCUCGUGCUUUUUUAAAAUAAUAAUUGAAGAUGCCUGCCAAGGGGACACGAAAAAGGAAAUUGAAGGAACGUGCAUCAUUGGAGAAGAAUGAAAAUAUUGGCCAAAAGAUGAAAGUGUUACUGUUAAAAGAGAUCUUCUUUUAUCGGAACAACUCCAGCGAAAAGUUACCUGUCACAGAAAGAGUACUGCGUGCAUCAAAUAAUGGUCGCUCCUCAUCCCUGAAAAUUCUCGAAGAUGGUGCAGAGAAGGAUGUUGUCAUUGCAAAAACUUCAUAUGACCUAUUGCAACUGAGGAAGUCCUUGGAGAAUGCAAGGAGGCCAUUGAAACCAAAGUUAACCUGGGAACCAACGCAGUCGGUGAAGUCUUCAACAAUGAAGAUUGUUCCUCAGAUGGUUAAAAUUUCAGAACACAACAAAGAGAAAAGCGUAGAAGAAUCAGACCAUCGCCCCGAUUCCGCCAUGCAGUAAGAUGGAAUUCUGCAGAGCCCCAAUAGCCGUGAAAACCAGGGAGAAAUCGAAGUUGCUUCAGCGAGAGAUGAGCCGGUAGCUGUCAUCAGAAGCAAUGUGCCAGUUUUGCCACAUGAUGCAGUCAACAUUCCUGUCCAGAAGAUGCAGGACAAAGAACCAAUCCUUCAACAGGGUCAGCCUACUUCGGAAUUGUCGAAUCUUGAUUCUCAAAUUGAUGAAUUUCUCCUGUCUUCAUCACCACCUGGCGAAGAUCUCGCAAAGCUUGCAGAUUUACUAGUGCAGAAAUCGAAAACUCAGUCGAUCCCUACGCAGGUUUCAAAGAAUGAUGAUGAUCAAUCCAAGAAAAAACCUCGAGUUGUUGAAGAACACAGACUGCCAUCUGGUGAUAAUCGUACGGCUCAUGUUAUGGCAAUUACUGGCAAAAAGGCCCUUGCAACAACUUCCGGCGGGAAGAAAUCGGUGAAUCAGUCCAAUCCAAAAUCCUUGUCGCAUCAAAAUCCUUUGAGCAGUUCAACGCAGGAAGCUCGCAUUGAACAACUCGAAAAAAUCUCAAGGAGUUUUCCGAAGAGAAUGGAGAGUUGAUGAAGGCAAGAGAUAGUGAUGCAGAUGUAAUUGAACGAUAUAAAAAAAAUUUUCAUAAGCGUAAAACGACGGAAACAAGACGAUCACCUGGUUGACGUAAUAGAGGAGAAAAUUGAAGAAACUAUUAAAGAUGCAUUUGCAGAACACCAGCAGCAGCACAUUUUUGAAAAAUCCUGUCACGAGUCAUAAUACCCCGAGUACUUGAAAAUUCUUGAGUAUUUUCCGAAACUUGGGUUGCUGAGUCAAACUGUUGCCAAACUCCACGCAUACAUGCUGCUCAGCAGGGUGACUUAACCCUUCGACGAGAAUCGCCGUCUCCCCACCGGAAGGUCAGUCAAGGCUGUACGUGUGUGUGUAACAUUGAAGAUAGCAAAGCCAACGGUAGUACUGUUGGGUCUGGUGCCACGCACCUCGCUCUAGAGAUAAUAAUUGUUCUUAUACUACACUUUAAGAGAAAUUGUGGUUUAUACAUGUGAUUGAUCAUUUUCUCUACAAACAUGAGUGAAAAACUCCAUUCCGAGGAAUGUGUAAACCUGAGGCACACGUGUUUCCUAUAGUUGUGAAACGAUCAUGGGUCAGUGCAAGAGGGAAACCCUGUCUGUGACGGUAGUCACUCACACAUAGCUGGGCCGCACGUGAUUGUUUCUUCUCUUUCUUUGAUCACACCGAUACAGUUUGGUCUCUUACUCUCGGCAGAGGGUUAAGGGGAAUACACGAUUAAUUUUCAAAGUAAGAGGACUUCUCGGCGGAUUAUUCUCUCUAUUCACAUCUCGAUCAGCAGGAGCUGCGAUUCGAUAUUCUUUUCCUCACUCUUUUUUAUAAAUACCGCUGCAAUCUGAUGCUCCUUGAAUUGUUUCAGAUUGAAAUCAGUUCAAAAACUCGUUUAUUGCUCAGCAACAAGCCGUGGUAUAACCGGAAAUUAUCGCUUAUAAUACCCGAAGAGCUUCAAAAUGAUCGGGUAUUUCUCGCAAACUUCGUUACAUACAAACGAUUAUUUUUUCCAUCCAAAUUCCGACCAAAAGAAGCAACGGUUUUGAAAUCACGUGGUGUGUAUGAAAUAGAUAAUUUUGGGUUAUACCACGGCUUUUACUGAGUAAUAAAAAAAAACAUUUUUUCAGCCAAUUUCAUACCACGAAAAUGUCAAACCCCCUGCUUCCCCUGCUUCUAUGGGUCCGAAAAUAAUCAGGUAUUUCUCUCAAUUUCACUCAAGUUUGGCACGGCCGAACUUCACGCACAUGUUUUUGAACAACGAAAUAUUCGGGAAAUACCCGGUAAUUUCCAAGUACUCGGGGUAUUAUAACUGAAUAUGUCAAGUUUCGCAUGUGAAAAAAAAUGGUUUGUAUGCAGGGAAGUUUGUGGAAAAUACUUCGAUUCAUUUUGAAGCUCGAGGGAUAUUCGGUGAUACGUAUAUCCAUGGUGUUGCAUAAUUUUUUUUUUUAUUCAGAUUCCCAAAGCUCAGCAAGAAUAUCUGCUCUCUGAUCUGUUCAUCAAGAGUCUGUUGAAAGAAUUGACCCCACAAGACAUGUGCUACAGAGUAGUGCAGAACCUUUGGGAUCGGGAGACACGUAAUGUGAUUCGGUAUAACCAGCCUCGGGAGAAACCGAAGGGAUUCAGGUUCGUCGACCCCAAGGAAACCCAACUGAUAACUCAGGUACUGGACAAAGCGAUGAACCACCCAGAUAUCGCACCAGAAAAGGUGUUCGAUUUUGGCCCGAAGGAGGUUCGCUCGUGGGUCUCGAACAAGUUGGUCAAGGACCGAAAUAAAAAUAAGUCGAGAGAGAAACGACAGUCAGUGGACAAGGUGAAGAGGAAUGAAUGAUGAUUACCAUUUUUUGAUGUUUCUCUUCCAAGUAGAGUCCAGAAAAGUGCCUUCUAAUGUGCAGAACAAGUUGUAAUGGAUCAGUCUACUGUAUGUUUUGUAGAUCACUUACAUUUCAUUUUUUGUAUUUUUUUAAUAAAUAAU